UACGGAGGGUGCGAGCGUUGUCCGGAAUCACUGGGCGUAAAGGGUGCGUAGGCGGCUUUGUAAGUCAGGGGUGAAAUAUGGCAGCUUAACUGUCAAGGUGCCAUUGAUACUGCGGAGCUUGAGUACAGAUGAGGUAGGCGGAAUUGACGGUGUAGCGGUGAAAUGCUUAGAUAUCGUCAAGAACACCUAUAGCGAAGGCAGCUUACUAGGCUGUAACUGACGCUGAGGCACGAAAGUGUGGGGAUCAAACAGG
rnacentral:rRNA from 1 species